CAGCCGCCGCGGUAAUACAGAGGGUGCGAGCGUUAAUCGGAUUUACUGGGCGUAAAGCGUGCGUAGGCGGCUAAUUGAGUCGGAUGUGAAAUCCCCGAGCUUAACUUGGGAAUUGCAUUCGAUACUGGUUAGCUAGAGUGUGGGAGAGGAUGGUAGAAUUCCAGGUGUAGCGGUGAAAUGCGUAGAGAUCUGGAGGAAUACCGAUGGCGAAGGCAGCCAUCUGGCCUAACACUGACGCUGAGGUACGAAAGCAUGGGGAGCAAACAGGAUUAGAUACCCCAGUAGUCCCUGUCUCUUAUAU
rnacentral:rRNA from 1 species